AGUUAACCAAAAUUGUUACUUGGCGUACAUAAGGGAGAGACAAAAGAGAGUGUUGGGAAAAAGGAACAAAGAGAAAGUUGAAAAUGGCCUUUCACCGCCCUUACCCAUACGACUACCGAGUCUUGAUUUAAAUUAUUUCUGUUUUUUUUUUUUGAGUCUUGAUUUAAAUUAUUUCUCGAUUAGUCCUUUCUUCGCUCAUUCUCCAAUCCCAACACCGUUUUGACAUUUACACUUUCUCCACAAACCAAUCAAACACUCUCUCCUAUAAAUUCCAUAUCUCCCUCCCCCUUCUCUCUCUCUCUCUCUCUCUCUCUUUCUCUCUCUAAAUUCUCAUUUUCACAGUACAAAAUCAGAAAGGAGUUAAAAAAAGAAAACCUGAAAUCUAUUUAUUGUUAUUUAUAACCUACAAUGGGAGGUGGUGGUGGUGCAGUGUCUGAAACAUGGAGGAGCAGGAGGGUCUUGGUGUAUAAAGACGAAGUUGCCCUUUUCAAGGAGGCAGACAGAAUGGAGCCAGGCAUAGUUUCUUACAGAUUUUCUCUAUUUACAAAUUAAAUAUAUAAAAAAAAAAAAUAAUGAAGAGGAGAAUUUGAAAUUGGUGGUAUACGUUUAUUUUGUGUAUUUAUCUUUGUUAGCCUAAGGAAAAAAAAGAAGGUGUUGUAUUGGCGGCCAAUUAUGAUUUAUGACUGACUAAUUGAUGAUUAUGAGAUAUGCUUUUUUUGAUCUUGUAUUUUUUUUAAUGUUUGUUUAGAAACGGGAUUUAUGGUUUAUUUAUUUUCAAUACUUUUUCUACUUACCAGCAUAUGAUUCUUGGUUGCCGGUCGGUCGCAAAUAAUGGUUCCCGUUUCGUUUUCCCUAAGAUUUGUGCAACACAAUAGAUAGAUGCAUUGACAUACAUUGACCAAAGGCAAAAUAAUUCUUCCUAUAAAAUUGUUCGAAUAAAAUGAAUUUGGUUUGGAAUUUAUGUUCUAUUCUAACUGAAAUGGCGCUCAAUUUGGCUGGGGUAAUCCGUGUACACGAAGAUUGUGUAGCCUUUUUUGCCUUCUCUUUUCUAUAAUCUAAUUCAAUAAAGGUUCGUCCCGAUUCUCAAAUGCAGUGGUGCUUGUAACCAAUGUUGUAUGAACCGGACCGGACCGUCAGCCGAAUAAAGGGUUCAUAUUGUGUUUCCAUUUAUCUCCUAAUUUUAUUUAUUUUGCAUAUAUCUAACUUUCUGGUUUAGUAUAUAGUGCAUCAAUGAGCAUGUAUCACAAGCAUUCCAGAUUCAAGAUGGUAGGAUCUUUUUGCAUUCAGCUCUGAUUCUUCGAUUUUUCUAGUUUCAUAAGUUUGCUUUUAAGUUUCGAUGGGAUAUUUUCCUUGAGAUAGUUGCUUUUUCAGAUUAGUAGAUAAAGUAAAGAGUUUCCAGGCUUUGUAAUUAAUUAUGUUAUUGUUCAUGUUUGGAAACAUCUUAAAUUGUGUAUGUUAUGUAUGUUGGUUGUAAUAUGAAGAAUUCCCUGUUAGUUGAUAUUGGCCACCACCACUCUAUGUUUGCACAUAAAGACAUUAUAUAGUGCAAUAAUAAUUAUUCAUACAUAUUUUGCAACGUCUUUUA